rnacentral:rRNA from 1 species
UACGUAGGGCGCAAGCGUUGUCCGGAAUUAUUGGGCGUAAAGAGCUCGUAGGCGGUUUGUCGCGUCUGGUGUGAAAACUCAAGGCUCAACCUUGAGCUUGCAUCGGGUACGGGCAGACUAGAGUGCGGUAGGGGAGACUGGAAUUCCUGGUGUAGCGGUGGAAUGCGCAGAUAUCGGGAGGAACACCGAUGGCGAAGGCAGGUCUCUGGGCCGCAACUGACGCUGAGGAGCGAAAGUAUGGGGAGCGAACAGG